GUGAGCUCCAGCAAAUCCCUAACCCUAAUGGCUUGCGAAUGGCGACGGCGGCGUAGAUCCUGUACCUAGCUGGGCUAGUUUGUCUGCUGGAGGAAGGUUUCCAUCUCUGCCCCAAGCUGUACCUAGUUGUGCGACCUUGGCUACAGGAGGAAUCCUGGUCGUCUCGCCGCCGGCGGUCGGACUGCCCGGGCGGACCUCUCCUGUUCGGCGCCGCGACGUUGGCUGAUCGAAUCUCCAGUAGCUCAACUCCACAAGGCUCCCCCUCCCCCUGUGUGCCUAGCUUCGACAUCUACUUACGGCAGAGAAGAAAUCUUGAGUCUUCACGAAAGCAGGUGAGUGAACAAUCAGCUAUUUGGAUUUUGGCGUAGAACACAUUUUCUGGUUUGGUAUGAUGGAUAGAGGGAAGUAGUGCUCGUCGACUACUAAGCUGGCCCCUAGUGUUCUUUCGGUGCAUCUCGACCUGAAAUGGAGGGAAGUAGUGCGACGUCACCUUUAGAAGAGCCAACAUUUCGAAUAAUUGCAAAUUGUGUGCCAACUCUAUCAGCUGUGGAAUCGGUCAACAGUGCCGAAAAUCAAGUUUUCAGCGAUGCUACCUCAUUUGGGGAGAUUAAUUCUCCAAUGCUUCUCAUUGAUGAUUCCAGUACACCAAAGAAGAAACAAUCCUUCU